CAGCCCGAUGCUCUGGGGCUUCUCUUUUAAUCUUCAUGAUUUCAAAGCCCCGAGGCACGUUCUAGAUCGCCGCCGUUCGUGUUGCUGUUCUCCCUAAUUUUCACGGCCGAUCUGUGUCAAAGUAAUGGCUAAAUAU